ACAGGGAGAAGAAAGGUGUAAUGGUGCAAACAGAGCCGCUGAAUAUGACUCUGGUCCCUGUAGUACAUAUGCCAGGCCUGUAUGUGGCACUGUUUCAACCAUGCUCUAACAGAUUGACGCCGUAAGAAUGUGUAGCAAAUGUUUGUAGAAAACUGGAAAAGAACCUACACAGCUUACAGGUAAACAAACAAAAAAGACGAGGAUAGCUAACUGUAGCACACCAAAUAGCCAAAUUAGCUUCUCCAGCACGAUCAGAAGGAGAUGGGGCAGGGCCGACCGUAUCGCCGCACUCUGCUCUGUUCACACUGAGACACAGACACCAGAGUUUUCAAGCCUCUCUAAACUGGGACCUGUAAACAGAGAGCAUGCAGUUCUUCACCACUAUAGCUUCAGGAUCUGUAGCCAAGUAAACAAGGCCACAGCAAACUCCCAGAACAAGAACCAGCAAAGAUCACAAUAGCAAACGAGACUAACAGGUUUGAAGAGCUGGGCAGCGCCAGGCCCUGAAAUAAUCCACACCUACAGACUCAAGAACCUAACUGCCCACCAUUAAUGCACAAAUGAACCGACUGCUGACAGAUGGGUCCCCCACAGAGUAGCUUACACAAGGAUGAACAGUUCCUAUUAGGGAGUAGUUCCAUCCACCCACCAGCCAACGACCUGGCCAUGCACAACAUGGAAGUUCCUGCCAGGCAUCACGGUGGCUAAUAUGAGUCGGCACAAGGCUCAGUACUCCAGAACGGAGUUGGUAACAAUACGAGUCGCAUCGACAGCAGGACAAGGUACACCAACCGCUGCACAGCCUGGACUAAGGACAAUGAAGCCUUCCACUUGAUGCCCCUGGUGCAGAUCACUCACCAAGCGUUGUGAUCGAUUGCGGAAAAAAAACUUCCCUCUGCAGAGCACGCCUCUACAUCGUGUGUGUGUAUCUCCAGUCUAUCCAGAAGGAUGGAUACAGAUCUUAAGUUAUGGGAGACUCGUGCCGUCCUACCCUACUGGAUCAGCAGAUCAAUACAACGUCAUUUGUGUGUACAACUGGGAGUUUGGUUCCUUCAACAAUAUCUAAGGCGCAGAUCUCUGCUGCAACCUAAUAAUACGACAAACACGAACCAGACCAAGCCACGACAGCAGAGGUAAUCCAGGCCGGAUUAAAAGGACUGGAUUUUUAUUGACAAAUCAGUAGGAUUUUUGCACCAGGUCUCAACAUGACAAAUGUCUGUCAAAUAAAACAUCAAUGCUUGCUGUUGUGGUGAGAUGCCUCUCCCCUCUUCUAGAUGUAAAUUUAAUUGCAGAUGAAUUGAUUAUCUCCGAUUUGUGAUCAAUUCUAAUUAGGUUUGCAUUUUCUGUCCAAGUCUUCCACUGACUAAGCUCUUCAGUCUUGACCUUUUUGUCCUUUACUUCUUCUGCUUGCUCAAUUUUUCCAUUGUUGCCUCUUUCUUUGUCUGUUUUUUUAAUUGAAUGCGAGCUGACAUUAGCAGUUGUGCAUUAUUUUGUUUACCCCGUAUGAUUCCAUAGAA